rnacentral:rRNA from 1 species
CAGCAGCCGCGGUAAUACGAAGGGUGCAAGCGUUAAUCGGAAUUACUGGGCGUAAAGCGUGCGUAGGCGGUUUGUUAAGUCUGCUGUGAAAUCCCCGGGCUCAACCUGGGAAUGGCAGUGGAUACUGGCAAGCUAGAGUGUGUCAGAGGAUGGUGGAAUUCCCGGUGUAGCGGUGAAAUGCGUAGAGAUCGGGAGGAACAUCAGUGGCGAAGGCGGCCAUCUGGGACAACACUGACGCUGAGGCACGAAAGCGUGGGGAGCAAACAGGAUUAGAUACCCGUGUAGUCCCUGUCUCUUAUCC